rnacentral:rRNA from 1 species
AAUCAACGCUGGCGGCGUGCCUAACACAUGCAAGUCGAACGAGAAAGUGGAGCAAUCCAUGAGUACAGUGGCGCACGGGUGAGUAACACGUGACUAACCUGCCUUCGAGUGGGGAAUGACCUCGGGAAACCGGGGCUAAUACCGCAUAACAUCAUCGGGUGAAAUUCCUGCUGAUCAAAAGUUUUUUGCUUGAAGAGGGGGUCGCGGCUGAUUAGCUAGUUGGUGGGGUAAUGGCUCACCAAGGCGAUGAUCAGCAGCCGGCCUGAGAGGGCGCACGGCCACACUGGAACUGAAACACGGUCCAGACUCCUACGGGAGGCAGCAGUGGGGAAUUUUGCGCAAUGGGGGAAACCCUGACGCAGCAACGCCGCGUGGAGGAUGAAGUCCCUUGGGACGUAAACUCCUUUCGAUCGGGACGAAUAAAUUGACGGUACCGGAAGAAGAAGCCCCGGCUAACUUCGUGCCAGCAGCAGCCGCGGUAA